rnacentral:lncRNA from 1 species
AUGUGCCAGGGAAAAGCACUAAUUCAUAUUUUUCCUUCCCCAAGAGUCUGGAAGAGGGGACAGAUAGAGCUGUUCCUGUCCCAUAGCUCCCUGGUGUGCUACCAGCCUCCUCGUUACAGAUGUGAACAGGCCACCACAGAGCUCUUCUUGAUUUGGUCUAUCACCACCAUUGUGAGAUACACUGGAAUAAUUGCCCAUCUGACGACAGGAAAACAUGCAAGCCCUUGGAAGUGGAACUUGCUUUAUACAUAUGAGAAUGGAGCAAGCAAUGCUUCCAAUAAAAGAAUUGUGAAACUAUUCCCAUCGGUGGCCUGUCCUCUACCCACAAUGGUGAUGGAGAAGACUGUUGGAUUUCCAUCAGGAGAACAAUUUGAGUGUGGACUCUACUGCCACAAAUUUAAGAAAGCUCUCCAGUUGCUGCUUGCCAAAGAAACAGGUGAUUUUUUUUUCUUUUUUUUUUUUUUUGAGAUAUUGACCAGUAAACAUGGGAAUCAACUUCAUCUGAAAUGCUUGUGUCUUAAUAUUUGUGUGACUUUCCUUCCUGCUCUAUGACUUGUUGAUUAUUUUUGAGUGCUCUAGGGCUUAAAGCAUAGUCUAUGACUGUACUAGUAUUUGUAACCUGCUGAUGUGCUCCAAGAAAAUGGGUGAGACCCAUUUUGGUGGCAGGUCUGUCAUAGGGAAGGUGUUGAACGUGGAUGUUGAGGUGCCGUGCUGUUGAUCAAACCAUUCUUAGGGAUGAAUCAACAGUGCUGUGACUUAAAGACGGAUGUAUGUCCAGGGUGAAGACCACAUUAUCAUUUAAGAAAACACUUUUCAAGUGAACCAGAAAAGCAGUGAGCAAAUGCUGGGUGAUGUGUUCAAUCCAUCCUGGAAGCAUAAUGCCAUUCCUGGACAUGGUUCUUGGUCAUGUAAAGCCAACACUUGGGCAUGCAAUUGCAUUUCUGAGAAAGAAGACAUUUUUUCCAUUAUCUUCCGAUCCAAAUGUACUCAUCUGACAAGUGAAAUUAAGUUUUAUUUUUCUGUUCCUGCUCCCAUGCUUGUGUUUGAGGCUUCCAGCCCUCAGCUACAUUUUUGCAGGCAUCUUUAAUGAGGUUGUGGAGAUGUCACUGGUAUGGCCAUGGCUUGGGUGGCAUGGAGCUCUGGAAGAACGUGAGCAGAAAGGGCUGUUUCUGCAAAGAAGGGAAAACAGCCUGGACAUAGGACAGCUGUGGUUCUGGGGCUGGAAGGCUGCAUGCAGAGCCAGAGGCAAGGCCUGACCUCUGCGUGCUGAGAUGAAAGCAAAUGUUGGUGUUUUGUGUUUGUCCCCAUCUAUGAGCAUGUGUAUAGUCUCAUGCCAUGGCUCAGCUGACAUGUGACAUCUUGCUCUGCUGUUUGAAGGUCUGAGUCUUCAAAUAUUAAAAAAGAAGAUAAAUGAAUAAAAGAAAACAAAAACAAGCA